rnacentral:pre_miRNA from 1 species
UAAGUUUACCCUAAGUCAAACUUGUUUAAGUUUGUCCAAUUCUACAAAAAAAUGUGGUAAGACCUACGACACCAAAUACACGUAGUGUGAAAAUAUAUUUCAUAGAUAAUCUCAUGAGACUAGUUUGACGAUCUAGGUGUUAAUAUUUUUUUUAUAGUUUUGGUCAAACUUAAACAAGUUUGACUUAGGACAAACCUCA